UACGUAGGGUGCAAGCGUUGUCCGGAAUUAUUGGGCGUAAAGAGCUCGUAGGCGGUCUGUCGCGUCGGAUGUGAAAACCCAGGGCUCAACCCUGGGCCUGCAUUCGAUACGGGCAGACUAGAGUUCGGUAGGGGAGACUGGAAUUCCUGGUGUAGCGGUGAAAUGCGCAGAUAUCAGGAGGAACACCGAUUGCGAAGGCAGCUCGCUGGGACGUUACUGACGCUGAGACGCGAAAGCGUGGGGAGCGAUCCGG
rnacentral:rRNA from 1 species